CUAAACUGUCAAAUAUUCUAUGCACAUCAUGUAAAAUAGGUCUCUUUCCCCUUAUACCUCUGUGCAUCUCGUUUCCGUGGCUACAUGUUUAUGCAAAUGAGAAUUGUCCUUUCUCUCUCAGGUUGAUUGAACACUGAAUUUGUUUUGCACCUUGGCAAGGCAAAGCCAUGCUGUCUUGCCACCUGGUCUACCACAUAAUUGCAAAAAUUACAUUAUAAUGAUAACUGUCCCAAAAUUAGCCUAAUAACACCAUCUACCUACCUUGUGAGAGAAAGUAACAGUGUGCAAUAAAGAAGGAUGUUAAAACAGAGUUGAGAUAGGGGAAUAAUGUUUAAUUGGCUCUCCAGAGUCUACUAAUUUUCAGAAUUGGAAACCUAGUGUUUGAUUUGUUCUUUUUAGUCAGUGAGAAGAAAAACAUCCUUCAUAAAUUCUGAAUGACAAAUUUGCCCAUCCUUUUUUGCAUGUGGUUCCAGCAUCCCAGGGAUUCUAAAGUGUCAUUUCCUCUUUGGAAGAAAGGGAGCACAAAACAUACUAGUUCACUGGAAAUGACUAGAAAAGAGUUAUCAUGAUCAUGAAUAGAUUGGCCAAGCUGCUGUUGACUCUGUUUUCAUCUGGGACAUUCAUCUCUAGCUUCAGAAAAAAGUAUUCUCUAGCUUUAGGAAGCGAUCUCCUAGCUCCUCCUGGUUGAGUACAAAGGAAAGAUGGUACCAUCAUCAAUAGUGUGCUCAGAUCUCCUAUACAAGAUUGUGGAAUUUACUACAGAAGAGAAAAAUGUGGAGGAAUAUUCAUCAGACCUGGUGGAUCCCUGAGACAAGCUCGAAAUAUCUGCUACUAACAGCAUGGUCAUUAUAAAAGAGAUCACAACCUGCUUCUUGACUAAGAGAGUGACAUUCCUAUUUGGACCAUAGUAAAAAUCCUCUACUCAAUCCAGAACAAAUGGUAAACAUCUUUUUAAAAGCUGAUGAGAAGGAGAAGGAAUAGGGGAAGGGGGAGGAAAAACUCUGUCCCAAGCACUUUUUUCCUGAGAAAAUAAAAAUAAAAAGAAGAA